ACGGCUGAGUAACACGUAGGAACCUACCCCUCAGUUCGGGAUAACGGGACGAAAGCCCCGCUAACACCGGAUAAUAUCGAAAGAUUGAAAGGUUACGCUGAGGGAGGGGCCUGCGGGCUAUUAGCUUGUUGGUGGGGUAACGGCUCACCAAGGCGAUGAUGGCUAGCUGGUCUGAGAGGAUGAUCAGCCAGACUGGGACUGAGACACGGCCCAGACUCCUACGGGAGGCAGCAGUUCAGAAUCUUGCACAAUGGGCGAAAGCCUGAUGCAGCGAUACCGCGUGGGUGAAGAAGGCCUUCGGGUCGUAAAGCCCUGUCAGAGGGAAAGAUAAUGACGGUACCCUCUAAGGAAGCCACGGCUAAUUACGUGCCAGCAGCCGCGGUAAUACGUAAGUGGCGAGCGUUAUCCGGAAUUACUGGGCGUAAAGCGUGCGUAGGCGGUUUAGUGUGUGGGAUUUGAAAGCCCGGGGCACAACUCCGGAUCCGGAUCCCAAACUGCUAGACUCGAGAGUAUCAGAGGAGAGCGGAAUUCCCGGUGUAGCGGUAAUAUGCGUAGA
rnacentral:rRNA from 1 species